rnacentral:rRNA from 1 species
UAGGGAGGGUGCAAGCGUUGCUCGGAAUUAUUGGGCGUAAAGGGUAGGUAGGUGGUCUCGUUUGUCUGGGGUGAAAGCCCGGGGCUUAACUCCGGAAGUGCCUCAGAAACGGCGAGACUAGAGUCCUGGAGAGGGUCGUGGAAUUCCCGGUGUAGCGGUGAAAUGCGUAGAGAUCGGGAGGAACACCAGAGGCGAAAGCGGCGACCUGGACAGGUACUGACACUCAACUACGAAAGCGUGGGGAGCAAACAGG